GUCUUUUGUUGACCAAUAGGGCAUGUGGAUACUUCAACUAUUGUGCAUCAAAACUGAAGUGAAACCCGUUUGCUAAAAGAAAUGGUUUAUAUUCGCAUAUUUAGCAAAUAAGAUGUUUCAUGACCAAGCCAGCUCUCAAUCGGCUCAGAUUAAGUUCCAAAUAAGACUUGUGACGCAGGACAAGCGGUUCUCCGUUCAUCAUCAGUCAUCAUGACACUACCAAGCCCGCUCUAUAAAAACA
rnacentral:lncRNA from 1 species